UGCCGCGUGGGGGAUGAUCCAGUUAUCUUGAUGAGAUAGAGCUCGAGUAUUGCUUCGGUGUUUGU
rnacentral:tRNA from 1 species